rnacentral:rRNA from 1 species
AGUGAACGCUGGCGGCAGGCCUAACACAUGCAAGUCGAACGGCAGCACAGAGGAGCUUGCUCCUUGGGUGGCGAGUGGCGGACGGGUGAGGAAUACAUCGGAAUCUGCCUUAUCGUGGGGGAUAACGUAGGGAAACUUACGCUAAUACCGCAUACGACCUACGGGUGAAAGCGGAGGACCUUCGGGCUUCGCGCGAUAAGAUGAGCCGAUGUCGGAUUAGCUAGUUGGCGGGGUAAAGGCCCACCAAGGCGACGAUCCGUAGCUGGUCUGAGAGGAUGAUCAGCCACACUGGAACUGAGACACGGUCCAGACUCCUACGGGAGGCAGCAGUGGGGAAUAUUGGACAAUGGGCGCAAGCCUGAUCCAGCCAUGCCGCGUGGGUGAAGAAGGCCUUCGGGUUGUAAAGCCCUUUUGUCCGGAAAGAAAAGCACUGGGUUAAUACCUCGGUGUUCUGACGGUACCGGAAGAAUAAGCACCGGCUAACUUCGUGCCAGCAGCCGCCGUAA